rnacentral:rRNA from 1 species
CCUACGGGAGGCUGCAGUGGGGAAUAUUGGACAAUGGGGGCAACCCUGAUCCAGCCAUGCCGCGUGUGUGAAGAAGGCCCUCGGGUUGUAAAGCACUUUCAGUGAGGAAGAACGCCUGGUGGUUAAUACCCAUCAGGAAAGACAUCACUCACAGAAGAAGCACCGGCUAACUCCGUGCCAGCAGCCGCGGUAAUACGGAGGGUGCGAGCGUUAAUCGGAAUUACUGGGCGUAAAGCGCGCGUAGGUGGCUUGAUAAGCCGGUUGUGAAAGCCCCGGGCUCAACCUGGGAACGGCAUCCGGAACUGUCAAGCUAGAGUGAAGGAGAGGAAGGUAGAAUUCCCGGUGUAGCGGUGAAAUGCGUAGAGAUCGGGAGGAAUACCAGUGGCGAAGGCGGCCUUCUGGACUGACACUGACACUGAGGUGCGAAAGCGUGGGUAGCAAACAGGAUUAGAUACCCCGGUAGUC